CCCUUAGAUGUUCGGGGCCGCACGCGCGCUACACUGAAGGAAUCAGCGUGUUCUUGUCCUGGUCUGGAAAGACUGGGUAACCCGUUGAACCUCCUUCGUGCUAGGGAUUGGGGCUUGCAAUUAUUCCCCAUGAACGAGGAAUUCCCAGUAAGCGCAAGUCAUCAGCUUGUGUUGAUUACGUCCCUGCCCUUUGUACACACCGCCCGUCGCUACUACCGAUUGAAUGGUUUAGUGAGACCCUCGGAUUCGUCCCAGCACAGUGGGUUUCUGCUGAGCUGGUGCGCGGAGAAGACGGUCGAACUUGAUCAUUUAGAGGAAGUAAAAGUCGUAACA
rnacentral:rRNA from 1 species